rnacentral:rRNA from 1 species
AUUGAACGCUGGCGGCAUGCCUUACACAUGCAAGUCGAACGGCAGCACGGGAGCAAUCCUGGUGGCGAGUGGCGAACGGGUGAGUAAUAUAUCGGAACGUGCCCAGUCGUGGGGGAUAACGCAGCGAAAGCUGUGCUAAUACCGCAUACGAUCUAUGGAUGAAAGCGGGGGAUCGCAAGACCUCGCGCGAUUGGAGCGGCCGAUAUCAGAUUAGCUAGUUGGUGGGGUAAAGGCCCACCAAGGCGACGAUCUGUAGCUGGUCUGAGAGGACGACCAGGCACACUGGAACUGAGACACGGUCCAGACUCCUACGGGAGGCAGCAGUGGGGAAUUUUGGACAAUGGGCGCAAGCCUGAUCCAGCGAUGCCGCGUGCAGGAUGAAGGCCUUCGGGUUGUAAGCUGCUUUUGUACGGAACGAAACGGUCUGCCCUAAUACGGUGGGCUAAUGACGGUACCGUAAGAAUAAGCACCGGCUAACUACGUGCCAGCCGCCGCGGUAA